AGAAUCUUCCACAAUGGACGAAAGUCUGAUGGAGCGACGCCGCGUGGGCGAUGAAGGCCGUGAGGUUGUAAAGCCCUUUUCUUGAGGGGGAAUAAUGCGGGCAGGGAAUGGCCUGCAGAUGACGUGAAUCAAGGAAUAAGCCCCGGCUAACUACGUGCCAGCAGCCGCGGUAACACGUAGGGGGCGAGCGUUGUUCGGAAUCAUUGGGCGUAAAGGGCGUGCAGGCGGCCGUGUAAGUCUGGUGUAAAAUGGUUGUGCUCAACACAAUCAUGCGCUGGAAACUGCGGGGCUUGAGUCAACGAGGGGAUGCCGGAAUUCCAGGUGUAGGGGUGAAAUCUGUAGAUAUCUGGAAGAACACCAGUGGCGAAGGCAGGCAUCUGGCGACUGACUGACGCUGAGGCGCGAAGGUGCGGGGAGCAAACA
rnacentral:rRNA from 1 species